AUAAUUCUUUCAUUUCUCUUAAAAUAUUCUUCUUUCACUAAUAAAUAUCUAACGAGCCAUAACCCAUAUUUGUUCUAUUCUAAAGAUUGAAAUCAACUUACUAUGUCCAUUUUAUUAGUCGUUUGGACAUAUAUAUAAGAACCAAGAAAAGGAAGAGAGCGUCCCCCCAGGGCAUAUCUCAACUGGUAAAGAUGAGGGCACUUCAAGACUGACAAAUCAAAAGUCGUGAGUUCAAUUCUUGAAAGGCUCUUGGAAGGCAGAUAUUCUUCUGGAAGGCAGGAUUUAUCUCGGAAGACAGGAGCUCUACUGGAAGGCAAUGUGCAAAGAUGAGAAACAACUUGCUUGGCACUUUGACAUAUCAAUUGGGGGGCUCUUGAUCAGUGGUCAGUUUGGGGCACAACCUGCGGUUUAACCUGUCUGCGGCUUGAGGGGCCAAGGUGUAGACUCCAGGAUUUAGUCACUGUAAGGUGGAUACCUGGAUAUCCAAAAAAAAAUAAAAAAAGGAAGAGAGCCGUAGAAAAGGUGUUGUAUAAGUAUAAUCAAUUAUUUAGAUUAAUUUAUUGUUGUAUUUGUUGUGUGGUCCGCCACAUGUAGGGUGGACAAAAUCUAUUUUACUACAAAUGUUAUCAAAUUUUCAAAGAAGAGAAAAUCAAUUUUGCUUCCUCAAUCAAUGGAAAAGUUUGAGAAAAAAUUGAAGUAAAGUUCAAAUCUUCUUUUCCAAUCAAUGAAAAAGUUUGACAAGAAAAUGAAGUUGAGUUCAACUCUUCCAUCCAACAUUUGCUUAUAAACAGGGUGAGAGAUUGUCACUGUCGGACCCACGGUGCGUCUUGGUUGGUAACGUGACCAAUUAUUUUUUUGAUCAGAUUUCAAAAGUUUAAAGCCAAAAUCAGAUUUAUCCUUCAUUCUCCAGUUGCCCUUCGCAAAACGGCAAAACCCGUUCAGCCAUUCCAUUGAAGCAGAAAAACUCUUUAAUCAUUAGCCUUGGAAGCAAAAGAACCCGAUUCAACGGAUGCAUGAUAUGCUUGUUCUGUUUGAAGAUUGUAUAAUGGGUUUGUGUUUAAACAUGAAAUGAUGCUGUUUAUGGGUUUGUUUUAGGGAUCGGAGGUCUGUAUAGGCUAAGUGUAUCUAAUUUGUCUAAAUGAAUUGAUAUGACAUUGUUAUCUUAGUCUGAAACCUUGUUUAUAUGGUUGUUGGGAAAUUGUCAACAUCAAGGGGUUUGGAGAAGAAAACUGAGAAACAAAAUAUCAAGAAGAUAAAAUGAGUAGAGAUUGAAACAAAAUAUAAAGGCUCAAAUAUGAAAUUAAUCUCGCUGUUCUCAAACGAUAUUUGUCCCCUCUCGGAUAUAAUUUUGGGGCUUAAAUGGUUUUAUGGAAAAAUGUUCGUAAGAUUGAUCAAGUCUUGUUAUUGAAAAACACUAAAGCAUAAAUGUUUUUCCAGUCGAAGUUGAAGAACAC
rnacentral:lncRNA from 1 species